rnacentral:rRNA from 1 species
UACGGGGGGGGGCAAGCGUUGUUCGGAAUUACUGGGCGUAAAGGGCUCGUAGGCGGCCAACUAAGUCAGAUGUGAAAUCCCUCGGCUUAACCGGGGAACUGCGUCUGAUACUGGAUGGCUUGAAUCCGGGAGAGGGAUGCGGAAUUCCAGGUGUAGCGGUGAAAUGCGUAGAUAUCUGGAGGAACACCGGUGGCGAAGGCGGUUCUCUGGGCCUGACCUGACGCUGAGGAGCGAAAGCGUGGGGAGCGAACAGG